rnacentral:rRNA from 1 species
CCUACGGGGGGCAGCAGUGGGGAAUUUUGGACAAUGGGGGCAACCCUGAUCCAGCCAUGCCGCGUGCGGGAAGAAGGCCUUCGGGUUGUAAACCGCUUUUUAGAGAUUCGCGGUACCUGAAGAAUAAGCACCGGCUAACUACGUGCCAGCAGCCGCGGUAAUACGUAGGGUGCAAGCGUUAAUCGGAAUUACUGGGCGUAAAGCGUGCGCAGGCGGUUAUGCAAGACAGAUGUGAAAUCCCCGGGCUUAACCUGGGAACUGCAUUUGUGACUGCAUAGCUGGAGUACGGCAGAGGGGGAUGGAAUUCCGCGUGUAGCAGUGAAAUGCGUAGAUAUGCGGAGGAACACCGAUGGCGAAGGCAGUCCCCUGGCCGUACUGACGCUCAUGCACGAAAGCGUGGGGAGCAAACAGGAUUAGAUACCCUUGUAGUC